AAUCUAUGAAACCGAGCCUGGAUCCAGCCAAUCAGUUUGCUCCUUAUAACAAGUCUAACUGGCUCUGGAAAGCUGAAAGGGCUGCACUGGAGCGGCAUAGACGAUAUAUUCCACACAAUAAUCUGCUUAUCUGGAAUCACUCUGGCUGGAAAGGCCAGAGAAAAUCGCAGCUUCAUUAUCUGAGGGAAAGACAGGUAAUCUGGCAAAACAUAUCUAAACCUGGAGCAAGAAUGAUCCUCUGGCUUGAUGGUCCCAACAGUGCAGUGUGAAAGGACCUGAGCCUCCUCAGAAAUCCAAGAGGCAGCCACAAGCAGCAAAACCUGAGAGUGUGACUCCAAAACUGCAAGUGCUUGCUCUCACCCUGUGCUGUUUUCUCAUUGUCUGGGCUCUGUAAAGCUGACAUGCUAGUGUGUUGGGGACUUUGAUCUACAGCCAAGAAAACUUCAGCAACAUAUUGCCAGGAUUCUGGUUGCAAACCGAACUGUACCAAAACUAAAUCAAAUUCCUCAUAUGGUCAACAUUGAACCUAACCAAUGAAUGUGAUUCAAUUUUCAUCCAACUCAGUUUGCCACCAUGAAAAGAACCAAGUUCACAAACCGAGGUACCACUGUACUCAUAAGAAUUCUCUCUGUCCUCUGGCUGGAGAAAGACGAGCCCUCCAAUCACAGAGAGCAUAUCAAUGUACAUUUUUCUACAUCGUGCAACACGGAGCUGAACACUCAACAGCACAGCUACGGAUAAGUUUGACCAGUGCCAUGCAAGGCAGAUGACAGGAAAGGAAGAGAGUGGCGAGCUAGUGCCUGUAGCAGAGAAGAGGAAGUAAUCACAGGUAACUAGGUAAGUCCUGCAUCUGUCUUGUCUUUUCCUCCCUUGACAAUUUCACUGUACGGGGCAGGGAAGAAGUUAUCUUCCAAAAAUAGCCGAAGUUGAAAAGAGAGAACUAAAAGGAGAAAUUGUCACUUUCCUAAAUGAGAAAAGAGAAAUAAAGGAGGAAUAGAAGGCCACGACUUCUUCCUGACCCAGACAGAUGAUAAAGAACAAAGUACAA